rnacentral:rRNA from 1 species
AUACGUAGGGAGCGAGCGUUGUCCGGAAUUACUGGGCGUAAAGGGCGCGUAGGCGGCGCUUCAAGUCGUCUGUCAAAUGGGAGGGCUUAACCCUUUUUCGCAGACGAAACUGGAGAGCUUGAGAAGCAGAGAGGCAAACAGAAUUCCUGGUGUAGCGGUGAAAUGCGUAGAUAUCAGGAAGAAUACCAGUGGCGAAGGCGGUUUGCUGGCUGCAUACUGACGCUGAAGCGCGAAAGCCAGGGGAGCAAACGGGAUUAGAUACCCCGGUAGUCCUGGCAGUAAACGAUGUAUGCUGGGUGUGAGACUAGCGAUAGUUUCGUGCCGAAGUUAACGCGAUAAGCAUACCGCCUGGGGAGUACGGUCGCAAGAUUGAAACUCAAAUGAAUCGACGGGG